rnacentral:rRNA from 1 species
UAAGAUUUUAAUUGAAUGCUAAAAGAAUGGAAAUUUAGAAAAAAACUUUUUUGAAAUUAAAAAUUGAAUUUUUUUUAAUUUGUGCAGAAACAAUUAUUUAUAUUAAAGACAAGAAGACCCUAUGAAUUUAAAGAUUAAUUUAAUUAAUAUAAUUAACUGAAUUAAUCUUGAUUGGGGCGAUCAAAAAAUAUUAAUAACUUUUUUAAAUUAAAAUGAUCUAUUAUUAAUAAAAUAAUGAAAUAAAUACUCUAGGGAUAACAGCGUAAUAAUUUUUGAUAGAUCUUAUAGACAAAAUAGUUUGCGACCUCGAUGUUGGAUUAGGAUUCUUUUUUAAUGAAGAUGUUAAAAAAAGAAGUUUGUUCAACUUUUAAAAUCCUACUUGAUCUGA